rnacentral:rRNA from 1 species
UACGUAGGGGCUAGCGUUAUCCGGAUUUACUGGGCGUAAAGGGUGCGUAGGCGGUCUUUCAAGUCAGGAGUGAAAGGCUACGGCUCAACCGUAGUAAGCUUUUGGAACUGUAAGACUUGAGUGCAGGAGAGGAGAGUGGAAUUCCUAGUGUAGCGGUGAAAUGCGUAGAGAUCGGGAGGAAUACCAGUGGCGAAGGCGGCCUUCUGGACUGACACUGACGCUGAGGUGCGAAAGCGUGGGUAGCAAACAGGAUUAGAUACCCGCGUAGUCCCUGA